rnacentral:misc_RNA from 1 species
GAUGAAGAACGCAGCGAAAUGCGAUAAGUAAUGCGAAUUGCAGAAUUUCCGUGAGUCAUCGAAUCUUUGAACGCACAUUGCGCCCGCCAGUAUUCUGGCGGGCAUGCCUGUUCGAGCGUCAUUUCAACCAUCAAGCCCCCGGCUUGUGUUGGGGACCUGCGGCUGCCGCAGGCCCUGAAAACCAGUGGCGGGCUCGCUAGUCACUCCGAGCGUAGUAAUACAUCUCGCUCAGGGCGUGCUGCGGGUUCCGGCCGUUAAAAGCCUUAUUUACCCAAGGUUGACCUCGGAUCAGGUAGGAAGACCCGCUGAACUUAAGCAUAUCAAUAAGCGGAGGA